AGUGAACGCUGGCGGUAGGCCUAACACAUGCAAGUCGAACGGCAGCACAGUAAGAGCUUGCUCUUACGGGUGGCGAGUGGCGGACGGGUGAGGAAUACAUCGGAAUCUACUUUUUCGUGGGGGAUAACGUAGGGAAACUUACGCUAAUACCGCAUACGACCUACGGGUGAAAGCAGGGGAUCUUCGGACCUUGCGCGAUUGAAUGAGCCGAUGUCGGAUUAGCUAGUUGGCGGGGUAAAGGCCCACCAAGGCGACGAUCCGUAGCUGGUCUGAGAGGAUGAUCAGCCACACUGGAACUGAGACACGGUCCAGACUCCUACGGGAGGCAGCAGUGGGGAAUAUUGGACAAUGGGCGCAAGCCUGAUCCAGCCAUACCGCGUGGGUGAAGAAGGCCUUCGGGUUGUAAAGCCCUGUUAUUGGGAAAGAAAAGCAGCAGGUUAAUACCCCGCUGUUCUGACGGUACCCAAAGAAUAAGCACCGGCUAACUUCGUG
rnacentral:rRNA from 1 species